GACGAACGCUGGCGGCGUGCCUAACACAUGCAAGUCGAGCGGAGAUAAUAGCAAUAUUAUCUUAGCGGCGGACGGGUGAGUAACGCGUGGGUAACCUGCCUUAAACUGGGGGAUAACACAGGGAAACUUGUGCUAAUACCGCAUAAUAUCACGAGAUGGCAUCAUUUUGUGAUCAAAGGAGCAAUCCGGUAUAAGAUGGACCCGCGUCCGAUUAGCUAGUUGGUGGUGUAAUGGACCACCAAGGCGACGAUCGGUAGCCGAACUGAGAGGUUGAUCGGCCACAUUGGGACUGAGACACGGCCCAGACUCCUACGGGUGGCAG
rnacentral:rRNA from 1 species